GGGAAAUCUCAGGUGACAAGCUAA
rnacentral:siRNA from 1 species